rnacentral:rRNA from 1 species
AACGAACGCUGGCGGCAUGCCUAACACAUGCAAGUCGAACCAGACCUUCGGGUCUAGUGGCGCACGGGUGCGUAACGCGUGGGAACCUGCCUUUAGGUUCGGAAUAACUCAGAGAAAUUUGAGCUAAUACCGGAUGAUGUCUUCGGACCAAAGAUUUAUCGCCUUUAGAUGGGCCCGCGUUGGAUUAGCUAGUUGGUGGGGUAAAGGCCUACCAAGGCGACGAUCCAUAGCUGGUCUGAGAGGAUGAUCAGCCACACUGGGACUGAGACACGGCCCAGACUCCUACGGGAGGCAGCAGUGGGGAAUAUUGGACAAUGGGCGAAAGCCUGAUCCAGCAAUGCCGCGUGAGUGAUGAAGGCCUUAGGGUUGUAAAGCUCUUUUACCCGAGAUGAUAAUGACAGUAUCGGGAGAAUAAGCUCCGGCUAACUCCGU